CCUACGGGAGGCUGCAGUGGGGAAUAUUGGACAAUGGGGGGAACCCUGAUCCAGCCAUACCGCGUGUGUGAAGAAGGCCCUCGGGUUGUAAAGCACUUUCAGUGAGGAAGAACGCCUGGUGGUUAAUACCCAUCAGGAAAGACAUCACUCACAGAAGAAGCACCGGCUAACUCCGUGCCAGCAGCCGCGGUAAUACGGAGGGUGCGAGCGUUAAUCGGAAUUACUGGGCGUAAAGCGCGCGUAGGUGGCUUGAUAAGCCGGUUGUGAAAGCCCCGGGCUCAACCUGGGAACGGCAUCCGGAACUGUCAAGCUAGAGUGCAGGAGAGGAAGGUAGAAUUCCCGGUGUAGCGGUGAAAUGCGUAGAGAUCGGGAGGAAUACCAGUGGCGAAGGCGGCCUUCUGGACUGACACUGACACUGAGGUGCGAAAGCGUGGGUAGCAAACAGGAUUAGAUACCCUUGUAGUC
rnacentral:rRNA from 1 species